rnacentral:rRNA from 1 species
AUUGAACGCUGGCGGCAUGCUUUACACAUGCAAGUCGAACGGCAGCGCGGGCUUCGGCCUGGCGGCGAGUGGCGAACGGGUGAGUAAUGCAUCGGAACGUGCCCAGUAUUGGGGGAUAGCCCGGCGAAAGCCGGAUUAAUACCGCAUACGACCUGAGGGUGAAAGCGGGGGGCCGAAAGGCCUCGCGCUAUUGGAGUGGCCGAUGUCGGAUUAGCUAGUUGGUGGGGUAAAGGCUUACCAAGGCGACGAUCCGUAGCUGGUCUGAGAGGACGACCGGCCACACGGGGACUGGGACACGGCCCAGACUCCUACGGGAGGCAGCAGUGGGGAAUUUUGGACAAUGGGGGCAACCCUGAUCCAGCCAUGCCGCGUGCGAGAAGAAGGCCUUCGGGUUGUAAACCGCUUUUGUUCGGGAAGAAAUCCUCUGGGCUAAUACCCCGGGGGGAUGACGGUACCGGAAGAAUAAGCACCGGCUAACUACGUG